rnacentral:rRNA from 1 species
CCCUUAGAUGUUCUGGGCCGCACGCGCGCUACACUGACACGUUCAUCAAGUCUAUAACCUUGACCGAGAGGUCUGGGUAAUCUUUUAAAAACGUGUCGUGCUGGGGAUAGAUUAUUGCAAUUAUUAAUCUUCAACGAGGAAUUCCUAGUAAACGCAAGUCAUCAACUUGCAUUGAUUACGUCCCUGCCCUUUGUACACACCGCCCGUCGCUACUACCGAUUGAAUGAUUUAGUGAGUACCAGGGACCGAGCGCUUUGGUUGGGUUUCCUUCCCUAGCGCUUGGGAACUGUCGCAAACUUGAACAUUUAGAGGAAGUAAAAGUCGUAACA